rnacentral:rRNA from 1 species
GAUGAACGCUGGCGGCGUGCCUAAUACAUGCAAGUCGAGCGGACGGACGAGAAGCUUGCUUCUCUGAUGUUAGCGGCGGACGGGUGAGUAACACGUGGAUAACCUACCUAUAAGACUGGGAUAACUUCGGGAAACCGGAGCUAAUACGGGAGGAUAUUUUGAACCGCGUGGUUGAAAAGUGAAAGACGGUCUUGCUGUCACGAAUAGAUGGAUCCGCGCUGCAUUGGCUAGUUGGUAAGGUAACGGCUUACGAAGGGAACGAUGCAUAGCCGACCUGAGGGGGUGAUCGGCCACACUGGAGCUGGGACACGGUCCAGACUCCUACGGGAGGCAGCAGUAGGGAAUCUUCCGCAAUGGGCGAAAGCCUGACGGAGCGACGCCGCGUGAGUGAUGAAGGUCUUCGGAUCGUAAAACUCUGUUAUUAGGGAAGAACAUAUGUGUAAGUAACCGUGCACAUCUUGACGGUACCUAAUCAGAAAGCCACGGCUAACUACGUG